GCCUCUUCGCAACACCCGGAAGGGACAUAAAAUCUUGAUGAAAAUCUUUUUGCUGAUUUGAAUUUGCUGUGGGAAAAGAUGGAUGAUACUGAAGCUCUGUAUCUUUAUCAUAAUGCACCAAGCUUGUUGUCUAAAUACAUAAAGUUGCAAAAAUAAAAAGAUGAACUCUGUUCAUAGCACUCUACCUUCACCUUGCUUGAAUAAAUCCCCAGAAUAGCAAAGAAAGUAACAGACCUGAGCAGAGAGAACCAAGGAGCAAAAGCAAAAUGACACAUCUGAAGUGUCUAAUAUCAUACGGAAAGAAAUGACAAAUCAAGCUGCUUGGAGGCAUGACACACUCAUCCUUGAAGUGAGCAGGAGGAAUUUUAACACCCUUCUGAAGAGUUAGCUGUAUAUAGUUAUACUGUGGUGGAACAGCAAAUCCUUUGGAAAAGGUCUAAGGUGUCUUAUCAGUGCAAGAUUUUUCAAACUUUUUGCCUAAAAUUUAAUGGAGGGGGAUGUGCCUGAAAA